AUUAAAACGUUGAGAAGAAAUAGUAGUAAGGUGAAGACUGCAAAGAGAGUCAGUGGUUGGUGUGAACUGAUGAGUCAUCCUUUAUGAAUCCAUCUUUGAGUGAACAAUGGAAUGAGUACGCUCUAUUAAAUUGUUCCGGUGCUGAGCCGUUAUCCCAAUUAAGUGGAAAGACCCGGUAAAAGGGCCUUUCAAUUAGGGUGGCACCGCGAUAAUUCGACUCGUCCCUUCU
rnacentral:ncRNA from 1 species